rnacentral:lncRNA from 1 species
GCCGGUGACAUUGUCUCCUUCUGAGAUCUGAGGACAUGGACACCAAACCACCUGCUGGUGACAUCGUCCCCUUCUGAGAUCUGAGGACAUGGAUACCCAACCACCUGCCGGUGACAUCAUCUUCUUCUGAGAUCUGAGGACAUGGACACCCAACCACCUGCCGGUGACAUCGUCUCCUUCUGAGAUCUGAGGACAUGGACACCAAACCACCUGCCGGUGACAUCGUCUCCUUCUGAGAUCUGAGGACAUGAACACCCAACCACCUGCCGGUGACAUCGUCCCCUUCUGAGAUCUGAGGACAUUGAUACCCAGCCACCUGCCGGUGACAUCGUCUCCUUCUGAGAUCUGAGGAUAUGGACACCAAACCACCUGCCGGUGACAUCGUCUCCUUCUGAGAUCUGAGGACAUGAACACCCAACCACCUGCCGGUGACAUCGUCCCCUUCUGAGAUCUGAGGACAUGGAUACCCAACCACCUGCCGGUGACAUCGUCUCCUUCUGAGAUCUGAGGACAUGGACACCCAACCUGCUGCUGGUGACAUCGUUCCCUUCUGAGAUCUGAGGACAUGGACACCAAACCACCUGCCAGUGACAUCGUCUCCUUCUGAGAUCUGAGGACAUGGACA